GUGAACGUUGGCGGCGUGGAUUAGGCAUGCAAGUCGAGGGAAGCAUGCGGCGUAGCAAUACGUUGCAUGACUGACCGGCGUAAGGGGCAGUAAUGCGUGGGUAACGUACCCCCGGGUUCCGGAUAGCCAGUCGAAAGGCUGGGUAAUACGGAGCGACGUCGCGAGGAGACAUCUCCAUGCGACCAAAGAUUUAUCGCCCGGGGAGCGGCUCACGUGCUAUUAGCUAGUUGGUAGGGUGACGGCCUACCAAGGCUAAGAUGGCUAGCGGGUGUGAGAGCACGACCCGCGCCACUGGCACUGAGACACUGGCCAGACACCUACGGGUGGCUGCAGUCGAGGAUCUUCGGCAAUGAGCGCAAGCUUGACCGAGCGACGCCGCGUGUGGGAUGAAGGCCUUCGGGUUGUAAACCACUGUCGUGGGGGAGAAAAGCCCCGCAAGGGGUCUGAUCUAUCCCAGGAGGAAGCACGGGCUAAGUUCGU
rnacentral:rRNA from 1 species